rnacentral:rRNA from 1 species
GAUGAACGCUAGCGGCAGGCUUAAUACAUGCAAGUCGAGGGCAGCAGUCCCGCAGCAAUGCGGGAGCUGGCGACCGGCAAACGGGUGCGGAACACGUACAGAACCUUCCUUCGAGCGGGGAAUAGCCCAGAGAAAUUUGGAUUAAUACCCCAUAGCAUUACGAAGUGGCAUCACUUUGUAAUUAAAGAUUUAUCACUCGAAGAUGGCUGUGCGGCNGAUUAGGUAGUUGGCGGAGUAACGGCCCACCAACGCCUUCGAUCAGGUAACUGGUGUGAGAGCACGACCAGUCACACGGGCACUGAGACAC